CCAGCUCCCCCCAUGUUACUGUGGUGGGGGCUGCCAGAAAUCCUGGCCGUCCUAGUCUCUCGUCCAACUCCUCUCCACCACCAACGCAGGGAAGAGAAAACUUGGGGAAGCAGGAAAGCAGCACCUGCCUCACAUCUGCUCGUAAUUCAUUGAUAUGUACCGCCGAUUGCUCAGGAGCUGAGGGUCAUUUCAACCCAGGAAGUGGGACCGUAACAAAAUAGAAAAAAAAUCGAAAUCAAGACCUACAAUAACGGCAGCUGGACGUCUUCUUCUGGAUUCCGAAAAUUUCGUUUUUAAAAAUCACCUAGAUGGACGUGAAACGCAAAGGAGUCUGCCGAGACGUGAACGGGCGAGAAGACACGAAGACAUCGGUCCAGGGGUUAAUGCUCUACAUCUACCCUGUAGAUCCGAAUUUGUUUGAUGCAAAGCGACAAAUUCGGUUCUAGAGAGGUUUGUGUGGGGCAUAUACGUUUCCUGCAAUGAAAAACAAGAAAACUACUAAUCGUUAUUUAUAUAAUUGCAUUGUCAUUAGAAAUACUUAAAAUGUCAUCUUAUUAUAUGUAUUUAAAAUAUUGUUUACUUUAUACUUGCCGGAUUGUUAAUGCUGGAAAUAAGUUGUAAAAGGUUUUUUCACUAGUCAAUUAAGAAGAUAAAUGACCGUUAGGUGCAUAAAUUUGUUUUAAAUCUUUGUAUCUUUGCACAUGAGUGAAGGUCAAUUUUGCCUGAAUUUCACAUUGUAUUACCUCAACGCAUUAUGUAAAAUGGAGAAACUAUAAAAUAUUUUCAACAAGAAGUAAAAUGAUUAAAAUGAAAUUAAGGAAUUGAGUUUAUGCAGUUUUUUAAAUCAUUAUUGUGUUUUAAUUAUAAUUAUAAAUAACAUGUUAGUUUAUAAUAUGUACUUUUUUACGAAGGAAUUUUUCACUGAAUUAUCUUACAAUCAAAUUAAAAUUUUGAAGAUUCCUGCAGAAACUUUGCACAUAUUCUAAUGUUACAUAUUUUCUUUUGAUAUUUAGAAAAAAAAACCUGGCCUUUUAAAUAUCAUUUCUUAUAUAAUUUUUGGAUAAUGUUCAACCCUUCGGCAAAAUAAUUAAUUUUUUACAUCAAAACAUAAUUUCAUCGCUGACUGUACAAUGGCCGAAAAAAUUAGCAUAUAGCGUAGUUAUUAAAUUUAAAAAAAUUCUGAUAAAAUACUAUUCCCAUAUGAAAAAACUUACUAUUUACAACUUGAGGUGGACAACUUCACAUUUAACUUCAUGCUCUGAGGUCUAAACAUUUUAAUUUUCUGACUUCAAAUAGUAAAAAUUAUGGUACACAUGUAACAUCUUGUCAUAUUAAUAAAACAUGGGGGGGAAGUUCGCCUGGAACGUCAAAUUUUAAACUCAAAGUGUAAAAACGGUCACUCUUUACUGUGUAAAAAGCACCAUUUUAUGUCGGAAAUUAAUUGUUUGUUUCAUAAGUUGUAAGAAAUAGUACCAUCAAUAAUAAAAACUUAAUCAGGUUGGAAAAAAUAAGUUAUUAUAUGUCGUUUUUUGGAAGGAAAAAUUAUAAUCUAAAGAAGUAAAAAUUGCAGUUUAAAAUGAACGCCCUGUUUCUCAGUAAAAAUACAUAAUUCACUUUUUAUUAUUCGCCAGAGAGUAUGUCUUAUAAACUGUAAGAAAGGGCGUUAAUGCCUUGUAUGUUGGUAAAAAAAUAUGCUAUUCUAUGUUGUAAAUUAUUAGUUUGACUUGUAAAUUGUAUGCAAGGGCAAAUCUAAAGAUGUAAAAAUUGUAAUACAUUCACCUUUGUUAUGUUAGUAAAAGACCACCAUUCCAUAUUGUUUUUAUUGUAUUACAUAAGGGCAAAUUAAUGUCUGAUGACAUUAAUCCAAUGUCUUUGGACUUGUUACAUUUAAAAACGGUAGUUUCUGUAGUUCAAUAGCAUAAAUACAGUUUGUAAUAGUGCAUAUAAUUUGAAAAAGUACAAUAUAUUCAUUUAACAUAACUUAAAAUUAACAAAAACACAUAAAGUGUUUUCUACACGGGCAUAUGUUGAACUUACAGUUGAAAUUGUGUAGGAUACAUUUCUCCCCAUGUUAUAUUGAUAAUUUAGCGAAUUAUUCUACGUGAAAAUUAAUUGCUUGCCUAAUAAGUUGUGUGCAAGAACGUAGUUCAUUUGAAAUUCUUAAAUUGUAAAACAGUAGUUUCCAUAGAUUACUGGCAUAUUAUAUUGCAAUCCUUUUGAAAUAGUAAAUGUAUUAUUUUAACAUUGUUUCCUAUAUUUAAUUAAACAAAGAUUUUAUUUAACUCAUUAUGUGCUUUACAAGAACAUAUAAAAAGUGUUGUAUUCAAGGAGAGGUUUUGAACUUGAAGUUGCAAAGAUUGUAGCAUACAUUCAAUAUGUUGUUAUGUGAACGAAAAGUACAUAAUUCUACGUGGAAAUUAAAUGUUUGUCUUUUACGACGUCUGAAAGAGCUAAUUUUGAAUUUAGAAUUGAACAAAUUAUAGCAUACAUUCAAGCCCUCGUUAUGUUAAUAAAAAGUACACAUUUCACGUGGAAAUUAAUUGUCUUAUACGUUGUCAGAAUGGACUAAUUAAACUUAAGUGCAACUCUUGCAGGGUACUUACAAUCCCUUGCUCUGAGAAGUUGUCUAAAAGGACAAAUUUCGGAUUCGAAUUUGUAAAAAUCAUACAAUUAAUACACUGUUAUGUUAACUAAAGGAAUACACCUCUCCUCUUUCUGAAAUUAAUUGUUUUUUUGAUAGGAAGUCUGAAAGAGCUAUUUUUUACUUUCGAACUUACUUUUAAAACGGUAGUUUCCAGAGUUUAAUGGGUUAAAUACAUUGUAUAAUAUUAACAAUAUUGAUAUUAAAUGAUUAAUAUUAAUGUACAUUAAUGUUAAUAAUAUUUUGAAAUAGUACAUUCAUCUAACGAAAUUACUUAUAUAAUUAUUUGUAUAUUUUUUAACAAUAAUUAUUUUUGUGAUUGAUUAUCAAUCAACCUCAAUGUUGUAAUUGUAUACCAAUCAGGGAUAAGAGGGGUUUUAUAUAAAAUAUAUAAAAUUAAAAAUUACUUAAAAACAACUUACAACCAAGAAAAGCACAUAAAGUAUAUUCUAUAUAUACAUACAUCAUACGCAUAUAAACAAAAAUAUAAGACAAUAUUUGUCUGACAGUGAGGAGAACAUCUUUUGCUUUGUAAUUAAAUUUCCCAUUAAAAGUACGAAAUUGUGUUUAUCUGGCCUUCUUUCGUAUUUAAUGUUAACUAAAUGAAAGUAAUAAUACAAUUGCUUUAAGAUAUUCAACAGAAAAAAAAACACAUUUCACCAACUGUUUUAAGAAGUAAGGAAAAAGAGAAUUUUAAAUCUGAAAUAACAUUUAUCUCUAUAAUCGAUAGAUCAAGAAUCAAAAAUAUCUGCUACGUGUGAUCAUCAAUGAUGAACUGGUACUAAUUACUGACUUAUAAAAGUUCAACUUCGUACAAGUAUUUCAAUACAUCCUCACUGUUGGCUCCAAAAAGCAGAGCAGGGGAACCACAUGUUCACAAGAACUUGAUCAAUAUUUAACAUGUUACA
rnacentral:lncRNA from 1 species